CAUGAUAUACGCAUGUUUGUAUUGCUUACUUGAAACUUAUUAAAGUCGAUAUUGACUUCUUCGCCUCUACCCACUAAUAAAGAUAAUGAAAAGUAAAUCUUGAAAAUCAUUUGAUAAUUGUUUAAUGUGUUUACCUGUUUUCGAGCUUCAUGAGUUAGAACAUACUAUAUAAAUCCAUGAUUUACUCACAUUUUAGUAUAUUAUUAUUUGACCAUUAGCAAGUAUUAAAGUCGAC
rnacentral:lncRNA from 1 species